GACGUAGGGCGCGAGCGUUGUCCGGAUUUAUUGGGCGUAAAGAGCUCGUAGGCGGCUUGUUGCGUCGGCUGUGAAAACCCGCGGCUUAACCGUGGGCUUGCAGCUGAUACGGGCAGGCUAGAGUUCGGUAGGGGAGACUGGAAUUCCUGGUGUAGCGGUGAAAUGCGCAGAUAUCAGGAGGAACACCGAUGGCGAAGGCAGGUCUCUGGGCCACUACUGACGCUGAGAAGCGAAAGCAUGGGGGAGCGAACAGG
rnacentral:rRNA from 1 species